UCCGGUUGAUCCUGCCGGAAGCCACUGCUAUUGGGGUUCGGCUAAGCCAUGCGAGCGGAGGGCGCGGUCGCAAGAUCGUGGCCCCGCACACGGCUCAGUAACACGUAGUCAAUCUACCCUCGAGUCUGGGACAACCUCGGGAAACUGAGGACAAUCCCGGAUGGGCGAUGGACGCUGGAAUGCUUCAUCGCCGAAAGCUCCGGCGCUCGAGGAUGAGACUGCGGCCUAUCAGGCUGUUGGUGGUGUAACGGACCACCAAACCUACGACGGGUAUGGGCAAUGGGAGUUGGAGCCCAGAGAUGGGGACUGAGACAAGGCCCCAGGCCCUACGGGGCGCAGCAGGCGCGAAAACUCCGCAAUGCGCGAAAGCGUGACGGGGGAACCCCAAGUGCCGUUGGUCUUUUGAUCGACGGCUUUUCGGAAGUCUAGGAAGCUUCCGGAAUAAGGGCUGGGCAAGUCUGGUGCCAGCCGCCGCGGUAAUACCAGCAGCCCAAGUGGUGGUCGCGUUUAUUGGGCCUAAAGCGCUCGUAGCCGGGCCUGUAAGUCCCUUGUGAAAUCGGGCGGCUCAACCGUUCGGCUUGCAAGGGAGACUGCUGGCCUUGGAACCGGGAGAGGUCGGAGGUACUUCAGGGGUAGCGGUGAAAUGCUGUAAUCCCUGGGGGACCACCAGUGGCGAAGGCGUCCGACUAGAACGGAUUCGACGGUGAGGGGCGAAGGCUGGGGGAGCGAACGGGAUUAGAUACCCCGGUAGUCCCAGCUGUAAAGGAUGCGGGCUGGGUGUCAGGUGCCCUUCGAGAGCACCUGGUGCCGUAGGGAAGCCGUUAAGCCCGCCGCCUGGGAAGUACGGUCGCAAGGCUGAAACUUAAGAAAUUGGCGGGGGAGCACCACAAGGGGUGGGACCUGCGGUUUAAUUGGAGUCAACGCC
rnacentral:rRNA from 1 species